rnacentral:rRNA from 1 species
CAGUCGCCGCGGGAAUACAGAGGGUGCAAGCGUUAAUCGGAAUUACUGGGCGUAAAGCGCGCGUAGGUGGUUUGUUAAGUUGGAUGUGAAAUCCCGGGCUCAACCUGGGAACUGCAUCCAAAACUGGCAAGCUAGAGUAUGGUAGAGGGUGGUGGAAUUUCCUGUGUAGCGGUGAAAUGCGUAGAUAUAGGAAGGAACACCAGUGGCGAAGGCGACCACCUGGACUGAUACUGACACUGAGGUGCGAAAGCGUGGGGAGCAAACAGGAUUAGAUACCCGUGUAGUCCCUGUCUCUUAUACA